GACGAACGUUGGCGGCGUGCUUAAUACAUGCAAGUCCACUGAAGCAGUGGUAGCAAUAUCGCUGUGGAGGUGGCGCACGGGUGAGUAACACGUAGGUAAUCUGCCUUCAGGUCUGGCAUAACUCCGGGAAACCGGGGCUAAUAGCAGAUGAUGCAGCGGCUCGACAUCGAGACAGUUGUUAAAGCUAUGGCGCCUGAAGAUGAGCCUGCGUCUGAUUAGCUAGUUGGCGGGGUAACGGCCCACCAAGGCAACGAUCAGUAGCUGGCCUGAGAGGAUGAUCAGCCACACUGGAACUGAGACACGGUCCAGACUCCUACGGGAGGCAGCAGUAAGGAAUAUUGCUCAAUGGGAGAAAUCCUGAAGCAGCAACGCCGCGUGAGGGACGAAGGGCUUUUGCUUGUAAACCUCUGUAGUGAGAGAAAAAAAUCCCAAUCUUUGGGACAUGAUGGUAUCUCAAAAGUAAGCCCCGGCUAACUACGUG
rnacentral:rRNA from 1 species